UACGAAGGGGGCUAGCGUUGUUCGGAAUCACUGGGCGUAAAGGGCGCGUAGGCGGCCGAUCAAGUCGGGGGUGAAAGCCUGUGGCUCAACCACAGAAUUGCCUUCGAUACUGUUUGGCUUGAGACCGGAAGAGGUAAGUGGAACUGCGAGUGUAGAGGUGAAAUUCGUAGAUAUUCGCAAGAACACCAGUGGCGAAGGCGACUUACUGGACACAUAUUGACGCUGAGGUGCGAAAGCGUGGGGAGCAACAGG
rnacentral:rRNA from 1 species